AGCAUUUCUCACAUUACCUUAGAGGCAUCUGCUUAUAGGUCUGCCUGCUUUCCCUCCCCAACAGAGUGUAGACUGCAGUUUCAGCAAGAAAGCCCUGGGGAGAAAAACCCUCCAUCCUCUUCAGGACAUUGUCCUGGCUGGAUGGGACGCCUUGGAACUAUUGCUGCUGAUGCCGGGGUUCUUGUUUGCUGAGCCGAAGAAUGAGCUUCACAGUCAAGACCAGAACUGCACGAGUGGCAAUUUCUUCCAGAUCAGUUGCAAUGUGGAACAUCAUCAGUGCAAAGGUCAACACAGUGUGAGAAUUACCAGAUACUUGCUGAUACAGACUAACUAGGAUAACCACCCUGGCGCUGGUGAAGUGAGUCUCCCUGAGAAUGGGCUUGCACCAGGAAGAUUCGACCACCACUGGUCCCUGAGCUACCCUGUACCUUGGAAACAGCACUUCCUUUCCAAAGGAUUCAGGGACGUAGGCUGGGAUUUUCCUCACUGUUCACCUAUGAGUCAACAGAGACUAGCAAAGACUUACCCCUCCGGCCUAGGCCAGUGUGCUGGAAGCCUUCUUCAUUGCCUUGCAGGGGCCAGGGUAGCCCCUGCCUGCCUGGAGAACACUGGAACAAGGGUGAUGUCUGAAAAGCUAGGGAGCUACUGCCUGGUGCUGGGGUCCCUGUCCAGAUUCCGAGUGUCAGACAUGACCCAGCAAGGCCAGCUUCUGUCCACAGCCCUUCUGCCAGCAGCUCACCUGAGACCAUCAGGCACUCCAAGAUCCAUGCAGAUCCACACUUGCUACUCAAGACAACCCAAACCGAACCAAAGAGGGAAGGGGGAGGGCAGAACGGGCAUUUCCCUGUUACUCUGUA